rnacentral:rRNA from 1 species
GACGAACGCUGGCGGCGUGCUUAACACAUGCAAGUCGAACGGAAAGGCCCUGCUUUUGUGGGGUGCUCGAGUGGCGAACGGGUGAGUAACACGUGAGUAACCUGCCCUUGACUUUGGGAUAACUUCAGGAAACUGGGGCUAAUACCGGAUAGGAGCUCCUGCUGCAUGGUGGGGGUUGGAAAGUUUCGGCGGUUGGGGAUGGACUCGCGGCUUAUCAGCUUGUUGGUGGGGUAGUGGCUUACCAAGGCUUUGACGGGUAGCCGGCCUGAGAGGGUGACCGGCCACAUUGGGACUGAGGUACGGCCCAGACUCCUACGGGAGGCAGCGGUGGGGAGUAUUGCACAAUGGGCGGAAGCCUGAUGCAGCAACGCCGCGUGCGGGAUGACGGCCUUCGGGUUGUAAACCGCUUUCGCCUGUGACGAAGCGUGAGUGACGGUAAUGGGUAAAGAAACACCGGCUAACUACGUG